rnacentral:rRNA from 1 species
GACGAACGCUGGCGGCGUGCUUAACACAUGCAAGUCGAACGGAAAGACCCUGCUUUUGUGGGGUGCUCGAGUGGCGAACGGGUGAGUAACACGUGAGUAACCUGCCCUUGACUUUGGGAUAACUUCAGGAAACUGGGGCUAAUACCGGAUAGGAGCUCCUGCUGCAUGGUGGGGGUUGGAAAGUUUCGGCGGUUGGGGAUGGACUCGCGGCUUAUCAGCUUGUUGGUGGGGUAGUGGCUUACCAAGGCUUUGACGGGUAGCCGGCCUGAGAGGGUGACCGGCCACAUUGGGUCUGAGAUACGGCCCAGACUCCUACGGGAGGCAGCAGUGGGGAAUAUUGCACAAUAGGCGGAAGCCUGAUGCAGCAACGCCGCGUGCGGGAUGACGGCCUUCGGGUUGUAAACCGCUUUCGCCUGUGACGAAGCGUGAGUGACGGUAAUGGGUAAAGAAGCACCGGCUAACUACGUG